rnacentral:rRNA from 1 species
UAAUACAGAGGGGGCGAGCGUUAUUCGGAAUUAUUGGGCGUAAAGGGCGCGUAGGCGGCUUUGCAAGUGACGGGUGAAAGCCCUCGGCUUAACCGAGGAACUGCCUGUCAGACUGUGAGGCUUGAGACCGGGAGAGGUGAGUGGAAUUCCCAGUGUAGCGGUGAAAUGCGUGGAUAUUGGGAGGAACACCAGUGGCGAAGGCGGCUCACUGGACCGGAACUGACGCUGAGGCGCGAAAGCGUGGGGAGCAAACAG